CAGGCGGGGUUGUGCAAGGCUCCGUAGGUGGGUGUGGGCGGGCGAGUGGUUCCGCUGAUGUCAUCGCUCCUGCGCCUUGCUCGGCCUCUGAUAGUCCGGCGACGUGCUUUGAGCUCUACAUGGACGAAUGUUGGCAAGCUUCUGGCUCGUUUUGGUCAACUGGAGGUCUUUGAUGUCUAGCGGAAGAUCCUGUUAGAGCUUAGUUGGUGUUCUGUUUCACUUACUUCUCUAUAAAGUAUUAUAUUGCAGUCCCCAGAUAUUUUAAUGACUGAUCUCAUAUUGUGGGUGACAUUGUAGUGAACGCGUAUGUAAUGCAAUUCGCGAUUGAGCUUAAAAGAUCGGUUUCAGAUAAUACAACAAUCCAUAAUGUUCAAAUAAAGAUUUGACGGAGAAAAUGGUCCAAGUGGGAAAUGAUUUAUCGAUUUUAUAGGCUGGCGACUCGCUCUUGUCAGUGCAGAAAUAAUCUAUAAAGCUCAGUCAGCAAUAUUGAUUAUCAAUUUUCUUAACCGUAUUCACGUGUCGUCCUUUAUGAGGUCAGGUCAUCAGAAGUAAGUACGUAAAUAUAAAGUGGAUGAUUAAAAAUACUUCAUGUCUGUUAGAGCUAAGUAGGUAUUACUAAUUUAGUUAGACACGGCAAUUAAUUUUAUAUUGUAAGCAUGUCGCCUGUUCUUGGCCGUGAGUUUUAAAAUUAUGAUG